ACCGUUCUUAUCGAGGGUAGUUGGACAUGUCAAUGAGCGUAUUGCGAGACCUGUCUUGCUAACACCCUUUAUACAACCAUUUCACCCAUCCUUUAGAGGCUCUGGGUAAUUUUUGGUUCC